GCAAAACAGAUUGUAUUUAGCUAUUCAUUAAAAGUCUAUGAUGUCUAUCAGGCAUUGUGCUAGGUAUUUGAAAACAAGGGUGGUUGUUAUAGGUUAAUGUGAAAGAAUAUCUUAAUUGUCUGUAAGUGUAUUUGUCAUAUCUUUAUUCUGGUGUUUUAGCUAAAUGAAUUUUAUAUUAACUAAAUGGAUACUGUUAGGUGGGAAGAUAUAUGUUAAGUAGGAUAUUUCUGCAUUUUGUUAGAAAAAUAUUUUUCAAAAUUUUCCACUUAAUGCUAUAUUUUAAGGUUGUCUUCUAUAUAGAGUUUAUUCAUUUUGGACAGCCAUAAAGUCCAUGUGGCUAUCAUUGCUGAAUUUUUAUUGCUAGCCAUAUAUAAUUCCAUUAUUUGAAUAUGAUUUAUACUCUUUAUUAAAUUAAUUCAUUACUUUUUCGAAAACACUAAAUGCAAAUUCUCCAAACUUAAACUUUCUUCUCAAAAGUAAAUUUCCUACCUCAUAUAGCAGGUAAUCUUAUAUGGUUGAAUUGAAAGACGUUAUAUGUUUUGAUUUUGACUUUUAAAAUAUUUUCUACUAUAUAUCAUGCAAAUCUAACAUCAUGAUUUAAUUAUUGUGCGGUAAUGCGCAAUACUUAGGAGCUUUGGGGUUUUUAUUAUAUUUUGGAUAAAUUACUCCAAGAUUCUCACACAGAACUUCCCAGUACUAGUUCUAAAUCUGUAGUGAUUUUAAAUAUUUUUGGUAUGGUUUCUUCAGCUUUAGGAAAAUUACUUGGAAGUUUCUUAGUAGAUGAAUGUUUCAAAAAUCUUAUCUCAGUCUUUGCCAUGGCUUUCAUAUGUAAUAGAAAUGUUUGUUGAGAGAAAAAGUACUGGAUUAAAUUUGUCCUCCUUAAAGUCUUAACUUUUAGGAUACUGUUGAUUCACAGUUUUUAAAAAGGAAGGGGUGGCUGUGUGAGUGUGGUAUACUAGGAACACAAAUAGAUUUGUGAGUGGUAAAUUCUGAUCUCUUUCACAUUCAUUCCUAAAUUUCUAUUUUAUAAAUAGUCAUAACUAUAGUCAUAGUUUCAUUUAAUACUACCCAUCAAUUCCAAUCAGUCCUUAGGGUGCUCCUGUGAACUUUCAUUAUGUUCCCCAUGUUACAAAUUCAGAAACUGAUUACUAAGCAACAGCAUUUUGUCAUUAUAUAGCAGCAAAGUACUUUAACACAUUAACUUUGACACUUCCUAAUUGAAGACACAGUCAUAGUAAAGAGUAUUUGUCAACCUAUGCUUGAGAAACAUUAGUAAAACUAUGGCCUGAUAGCUUAUUGAUACCGUGUUAAGAAAAUUUCUGAAGGUUUACAGUCAGAAAAACAAACAGUAAUCCCCAGUCUUUAUAAGAAAUGUAGGUGUAGACAAGUCAGCAACUUAAAGUAUGCAUGAAGUCAGUCUUCACUUUAUAUGACAAAAAUAACGUUUGGGCCUUCUAGAUACUGAAUUUCCUUUAAAUUGCAAAGAUUUGGGUUUAGUGUUCUGUUACAUGAAGUUUAGAGGAUCCAACAAUAUAUGGCCCAAUGAGUAUUUAUUAUAAAAUUUUUAUGUAAAUGUGUUGAUAGUGAAAAAUCACUAAACAAAAGGGAAUUCUGUUUAGUGCUUUGAUGUGUUUGUACACAUUAUCUUCUAGACUCUUGUCAUAAAACCUUCUCAUAUUAUAUUACAUACAUAGAAUUAAGUUUAAUAUAUUUUUAGCACUACAGAAAAUCAAAAUUAAAAAAAUAUUUGAGAGGCAGAGAAAAAGAAAAUUCCUAUCUCUGAUCACAAUGGCCAGGACUGGACCAGGCUGGGACUAGACCAGGCUGAGAACUCAAUCCGAGUCUCCUUUGUGGAAGGCAAAAACUCAGUAAUUAGGACUAUCACUAGAGGAAGCUGCAGUCUAGACCCAAGGUAUCAUACCCAGUGAUUCAGAUAUAAAAGACAGGGAUCUUUUAAAAAUAUACUUAUUCACUUAUUUAUUUAUUUGAAAGAGUUAUGGAGAGCUAGGAAGAGACAGAGAGAGAUCUUCCAUUCAUUGAUUCAUUCCACAAAGGCCAGGACUGAACCAGGAGCUUCACCCGGAUCUCCCACGGGGGUUCAGGGACCCAAAGACUUGGGCUCUCUUCUGCUGCUUUUCCCAGGCCUGUAGCAGGGAGCUGGAACAGAAGUGGAACAGCUCAGACGUGAACUCUUGCCCAUAUGGGAUUGCCAGCAUCACAAGCAGUGGCUUUACCUGCUAAGCCACAGCACAAGUCCCAGAACACAGAUAUCUUAACUAACAUGUUGACCACUAGGCUAAAUGCUUGCCCCCAGAAAUAGUUUUUAGCAUAAGAACGAACAACUUGGGACCAGUGCUGUGGCAUAGCAGGUUAAGCUGCCAUCUGCAGUGUCAGCAUCUCACAUGGGCACUGGUUUGAGUCCUGGAUGCUCCACUUCUGAUCCAGCUCCCUGGUAAUGAACCUGGGAAAGCAGUGGAGAAUGGCCCAACUGCUUCAGUCCCUGCACCCUCGUGGGAGAACUAGGUGAAGCUUCUGGCUCCUGGCUUCUUCCUGGCCCAGCUAUGGCCUUCACAGCUAUCUGGGGAGUGAACCAGCAGAAGGAAGAUCUCUGUCUCUGUCUCUGUCUCUCUCUAAUUCUGACUUUUAAAUAAAUAAAUAAGUCUUUAAAAAAAAAAGAGUGGACAACUUGUUGAAUUCUCUAGAUUACUAAGUUGCCCCAUAGUUAGUUGUUCCUUAAAAUUGCUACUAAAUUAAAAUCUGUUUUUCAACCAGCUAAUCAGAAUUGAUGUCUACAUCAUUGUUUUUUAGGAGAAAAGAGAAAUAAAAAAAUUUGUUUUUGUAUUUUAUUUAUCAAGUAAGUUUAAUGUUCUCAAGUACAUACACAUUCAUUUAUAUAUGCUUGUACUGAUUAUCAUCAUAUAAACUUGGAGGCCCACAGAUUUUGGAAAUACUUUUAAAUGCUAAAGAAAUUGUACUUUUAUAAAUUAUACUAUUAUAUUUCAAAGACAAAAAUUUUUUACAAAUGAUUUCUUGCUAACAAAAACAAUCUGAAUAGUGAGCAGGAUAGAGUUUAUCUCUGGACCCAAAUAAUUUCUGUAGAUAAUUUAAAGUUAAGUCAAUUAAAACUGAAGAUUCUACUCAGCAUUUCCAUUUCAAACAUCUCAGAAGUUAUAAUGUGUCGAUAUCACUCCUGAAAGAGACCAGGAGGAUCCAGGGUUAACAUACUUAGAUAUGUCUUCUAAAUGUAGUUGUACAUAAUAGAUAAUGGAAAAGAAAAUCGCUAAUGAUAGCGAACAUGGUUUAAAACUUAUACUUUAUUCAGAGUUGUUGCAAAUUUUUGUUUGAGUCUUUAUUUCUGUUGACCUAUAAAACCUUUCUUAGAGAACUUAUAAUUAACUUUUGUUAUACUGAGUAAGUUGUUAGAACAUACUGUUUUGAAGGACUCAGGUAAGUUUUGUAAGUUAGUCAGCAAUUCUACAAUGGAGAACAAUUAUUUGUACAUUUGUGUUUUACUGAGUUUUUUUUUAUUUUUGGUUUGGUUUGUUUUUGCCAACCAACCAAAAAUCCAGCAUUAAGAAGAAAUUUUUCUGUGAGGUGUUAAUGUUAAAACUUAUAUUCCUGUACUACAUUUGUUUUUUAAUUUAGUGACUCUAUCUCAAGUUAGGAGUAAACCUAAAAUAUGUUUUAAGAUUAAGUGCCAAAUUCUAUUUAGUUUCACUCUUAUAUUCACAGCUAUUUUUUAACACACAUUGUGAAGUAUCUACUAAUCUGUUGGCCGUUAAUUAACCUAAUCUGUACAUUUUUAAUAUUAGCAUCUAAAAAGAAUAAUUCAAACUGUAUGUAACAAUAAUUGGGGGAAACGGGGCGGCCAGUGCUGUUGCAAAGCAGGUAAAGCCACUGCCUGCAGUGCCAGUAACCCAUAUGGGCACCAGGUUCGAAUCCCGGUGCUCAACUUCCGAUCCAGCUCCCUGCUGAUGGCCUGGGAAAGCAGUGGAAGAUGGCCUAAGUCCUUGGGCCCCUGCACCCAUGUGGGGGAUCCUGAGGAGGCUCCUGGCUUCUGGCUUUGGAUUUGCACAGCUCUGACUGUUGCGACCAAUUGAGGAGUGAACCAGCGGAUGGAAGACCUCUCUCUCUCUGCUACUCCUCUCUCUGUGUAACUCUGACUUUCAAAUAAAAUAAAUAAAUCUUAAAAAAAAAAAAAGAUAUAUCAAUGUAAAACACAGCUACUGAGUAAGAAUAAAAGGAAUUCUGUUUGCAAGUUAAAUGUAAAAUUUAUCAUUAAUAUUAAAUGGCAUCAGAAUAUCAGAAUAUGUAGAAAAUCAUCCUUAAUAACAGAAAUUUAAUGUUAUUUUUAAAGCAUUGUUCUGAAAUCAUUUUCUUCCUUCCACAUUUAUUAUACUGGAGUUUGUGCUGAAGGAUUUCUUGGUCAUUUUAGAGACUGUAAUCUAGUUAAAAGGUUUGUUUAUGCUUCCAUCCCUGUUCUGCUGAUGGUAUUAGAAUGCAGGCCAGAGCCAGACGUCUAACUGUUUACAAUAUUCAAACUUCAAUUAAAGCUACAGUAUUAAGCCUACUAUAUAUCAAGAAACUCAUACCAGCUACAAGCAUCACUAGACUUUCCUAAUUCUACCACUUCUUGAGAAUAUUUCUCUUAUGAAAUGUUAGCAUUGAAUUCUUUCAUAGAUGUGUAAAAGGAAGCUUGCUUUUCUACCAGAAGUAAUAAAGUAUUUUGAUUUAACAAUUUGUUUGGAUAAUAGAAGUCUUAACAACUUAUAUUAAUGCAUAUAUCUCAGUUUAAGAAGUCCAUCUUAGUUGUUUUAAAAUUAAUAUAUUCUUUUUUUUAAAGAUUUGUUUUUUAUUUAUUUGAAAAGCAGAGUUACAGAGAGAGAGAGAUCUUUCAUCCACUGAUUCACUCUGCAAAUGGCUGCAAAGGUCAGGGCUGUGCCAGGCUGAAGCCAGGAGAUUGAGCCUCUUCUAGGUCUCCCAUGUGAGUAUAAGGGCCCAAGUACUUUAGCCAUCCUCUGCUGCAUUUCCCAGUUACAUUAGCAGUGAACUGGGUCAGAAGAGGAGCAGCAGUGUCUCAAACUGGUGUUCAUAUGGGAUUCCCGUGUUACAGGUAGCAGUUUUAUUUGCUAUACCACAGGACUGGCCCUGAUACAGUCUAUGACAGAUGUAACUUUGCAAUCCAGUUGGUUGGAAAACUACAGCAUAAAAACAUAACAGUAUAUUGCUAUUAGUACAUUACUCUUAGAUGUGAAAGGAAUGUAGGUAAUACUUAAAUUUAAUCUUACGUUGCUUUUCUGUGUUACUGCUCUUGCUGUUUGUAGUUUUUUUUUUUUUUCUUUUUUUUUGACAGGCAGAGUGGACAGUGAGAGAGACAGAGAGAAAGGUCUUCCUUUGCCGUUGGUUCACCCUCCAAUGGCCACCGCGGCCAGCGCGCUGCGGCCGGCGCAACGCACUGAUCCGAUGGCAGGAGCCAGGUGCUUCUCCUGGUCUCCCAUGGGGUGCAGGGCCCAAGCACUUGGGCCAUCCUCCACUGCACUCCCUGGCCACAGCAGAGAGCUGGCCUGGAAGAGGGGCAACUGGGACAGAAUCCGGUGCCCCAACUGGGACUAGAACCUGAUGUGCCGGCGCCGCAAGGCGGAGGAUUAGCCUAGUGAGCCGCGGCGCCGGCCAGUUUUUAUGUUUUAAGCAUAGUGUUAAAUUGUUUUAAAGGUUAUCAAGAAGUCUUUAAAACAUUUCUUUAGCAGCUUUUUAUUUUUUGCCGCUAACCUUUGCCAGUUAAAAAAUUAUUUGAGUUCUAAGUGUGUUUUUCUAAUUAAUAGGCAUAUUUGCUAUAUACAUCUUUCUUUUCUGUAAAACUUGAAUGUAUUCUUUAAUUUUAGAUAUUGAUUGGUAAAAUGUAUAUGUUAUUUAGGUAUGUAUGUACAUUUUUAUUGGAGUCUAAGUUUAUAGCAGAUAUAGACAAAAUGCAUCCAUUCUUUAUGUAUACAUAUUUUCAUUAAAUACUAAGUUUAUAGCAGGUAUAAAAAUAUUCAGAAAAGAUGGAAAAUUAGACUGUAUCAAAUUAAUUGCCACUAGCACACUUUUAAUUAAGAAAUAAUGCAGUGAAUAAUACAGUGUAAAGGUUUACAUGACUCAUUUUCCUGACCACUGAAAGAAACAAGAGAUUUAUUUAGGAAUAAUAUAAGAAAAUUAAAUAACUACCAGUGGUAUGUGAGGAUACGAACUAAAAACAACCAUGUAAAAUUUAGAUUUGUAAGUUAAGUAAAUGGGAAGACCUCUAUAAUAAGCUAAGUGGAAAGAAAAUGAUAGAAUAAAUGGAAUAGUGUAAACCAAAUUAUGUAAAAAAAGUGUGUAAUAAUACACAUGUAAUGUUUAAGAAUAGUAUACAUGGAUUUCAAAAUUUUUUACCAAAAUAAUUUACAUUUUAAUUCAGCUUUCCAUGAACUUUUCAAAAAUUUUGAAAUCCAUGUAGUUUUUUCAAAAUACUUGUUUUCCAUGUAUAUUUUGAAGACCCCUUGUAUGUUUAUGUGGGAUAUAAUACAUGUUUUUACUAUACAUACCAUAUAUCCAUAAAAUAUAUACCAUAUAAAAAUAUAGUUCAAAAAAUUCAUGGAAUAUGGAAUGAAUUUUAAGUUUAUUUAGUGCAAAAAAAUUUUGAAAUCCAUGCAUACAUGGAGUUUUGAGAAAACACAUGAAAGAUUUCUACUAUGAAAAAACUGCAUUAUUUUCACAACUUCUUUUGAACCAAAAUAAACUUGUUUCUCAAUUCUAUUUUCUAUGAACUAGAAAUACACUAAGAAAAUGACUGGAAGAUAUAUAUCAAAUUAUUUCCUUGAUAUACAGAAAUUGUGCUGAAAGGUGAGAAAUGCACCUCUCAGUAGCCUGAGAAAAUGGAGACUGGAGUGCUGAUGGUGUUGAAGGAUGUCAGCUAUGAAGUGAUACACAGUCAGUCUCAGUCUUAAACGACGUAUAAUAUAUGGGUCUAAGGUGAACUUUUGUUAUUUUAAUCAGUGAUCCAAAUUAUAUGUUCACUCAAAGUACAGAUGGUACAGUCACUUAACAUUCUGUAAUGUUUUCUAUAUUCAGGUACUGGUUUAGAUGGAGGACAAAAAUAAAACAGCUUUGAAGACUAAAUAGUUUUCUUGUGUGACUAAAACAUGUACUUGAAAAACACUUUAGGAACCUUUGUAAGGUAACAUCAAACUGAGUAUGCAAAUAUGCCUAGUAAAGAAGCAAUUAGAUUCUGUAGAGCUAAUCAAGAUUUGGGUAGAGGAGAGAUACUUGGAGAGAUCACAGAACAUGGUAUUCAAGUACAGAUAAAACUUCCAAUGGGUCAAGGAAUUGAGAAUCUUAUUUUUAUUAAUUUGAAAGCUGGAAUUAAAAUUCAGAAUAGGUGCUAAAUUAGGGAAGUAGUUGCAUGUAUGUACCUUUAUGUUUAUGUAAAAAAAAUUUAUUUUUCAGAAUUAGGUCAAAAGAAAGAAGAAGAAAAAAUUGGGAAAUAACUUGCAUAAAACAUUAGGAAAUGAGUUUUUCUUUGCAAUUAUGACUAGAAAAUCCACUGAAGUCUGAAAUAAGUAUUCAAAAUAUGAGUUAGAAAUGAAACACUAGUUAAAAUAGCAAAAUAUUAUGCAAGAAUAUCAGCUGAGGUUGUUUUUCCUUUUAUAAUUAAAAUUCAUUCCCAGGUUGUUCCUGGGAUCAGUAGUAAAUAAUAUGCAAUUAAAGCUAUAAAUCUUAUACAUAAAUAAAUGCCAAAAGUAGAAAAAAGAUAUAGCUUAUAUUUUUUCCAUUUAUGUUAUAAGUUGUCAGCAUCUUAUUUCUUUCCUGUUAGCCCUAUCAUGUAAAGCACAAUUCCAUCUACCUCUGAACAUUAUUUUUUUUUUUUUGUAAACUGGCAAGUUUAAACAGUUCUACCAUAUAUGGCUCUGUGUUUUGUUUUGUUUUCAGGUGAACAGUUAUAGUGAUUUUUCUUUCAAAACUUUAUGGUUACCAUUGACUCAGUGUUUGUUACCUCUCUUUUACUGAUGGUUUGCCAGUGUCUUUCUUCAACAAGUAUGAAUAUGAUGAUUAUUUGUUCUUAGUGCUAAUGAGCAAAAAUAGAUCUGGGUCUUGGUCUUCUGGAACGUAUGUCAUAGAGAUAGAAAAGGUACUUGUGUUAAUCAAAAAAUCAUACAAUUAAAUACGAAGUUGGAACUAUUUCAGUUGUUGUAGAGAGAGAGGUACGUGAUAUUUAAUAUGUUUUUUUUUUUUUUUUUUUAAUUUUUGACAGGCAGAGUGGACAGUGAGAGAGAGAGAGACAGACAGAGAAAGGUCUUCCUUUGCCGUUGGUUCACCCUCCAAUGGCCGCCGCUGCAGCCGGCGCACCGCGCUGAUCCGAUGGCAGGAGCCAGGAUCCAGGUGCUUUUCCUGGUCUCCCAUGGGGUGCAGGGCCCAAGCACCUGGGCCAUCCUCCACUGCACUCCCUGGCCAUAGCAGAGAGCUGGCCUGGAAGAGGGGCAACAGGGACAGAAUCCGGCGCCCCAACCGGGACUAGAACCCGGUGUGCCGGCGCCGCAAGGUGGAGGAUUAGCCUAUCGAGCCACGGCGCUGGCUCAAUAUGUGGGUUUUAUAAGAAGAGUUUAGCCUUUCAUUGAGAUCAAAUGAAAUUUUUUAAGUGUUUAUUUGGCUGAUAAUUUAAUGAGUAAGUGUUGACUUGAUUAAGAUGAAGAAAAGAGCUUUCUGGAAAGAAGGAGUAGCAUGUAUAAAGAUCCUGAAAGUAGGAAGUACCCUGUUACCUAAUGUUAAACAGAGUUAGAAGUUUAAAGCAACAGGAUACAUGGAGAAAGAUAUUAAGGAGUUCAAUAACAGCGAAACUGUAGGACAUUGUAGGCCUACCUUUUCUUUAUUCUCAGGGUUGAAUUUAUAUUUUCACUGAAAUUCUUCUUUCUCAAUGGAGAGAGCUUUCUAUUAGAUAUGAAAAAGUUAUGUUACAAGACUUCAUUUUUAUUUCAAUUUAAAACUCAUUACAUGUUUUCUUGUAGAAUUGUAGUGAUAGUGUCAGAUCUCCAAAAUACCCUAUUAACUUUGGAUAGGACAACAUUGGAAACUAGUGGUUAUCACAUAGUACCCUAAAUGUAAUCUGGUAGAAAUUAAAAAAUAAAAGGAAGAUAGGGAUUAAAGAUGAUAUCUCUUAUGUUCAAAAGAGAAUGCAGAAUGCUGUGGAUAUGACUGACUAAACUAUGAAUAAUGAAGACAAAAAGCCUUCAAGUGCACUCUAAUAGUGAGUUUCAUAACCAAAGAUUUUAAAAGGUUCACAUUCAGUAGGGAAACUUCAGAAGACCCUCAAGUGGAACCUGGAUAUAUGGUAUAUUAUGAUAUCUAGAGCACAUCAAGGUAAAGAGAGAGUAGAAAGCAUCACGUUCACAAAUUUAAUAUUUGGGAAUAUAGAGUAUAUGGGUGACCUCAAAAACUUCAUGGAAAACUAUAAUUGGAAGAUAAAUUAUUUUGAUGCAAAAGAAUUCUGAAAUCCAGGCAUAAAGUUUCCAUGAUAGACAUUUUCUGUGAACUUUUUUGAAAAUCGCCCAUAUGCAUGGAUCAGUAUUUUUUUGCACCUAAAUAAACUUAGAUUUUAAUUCCAUCUUCAUGAAUACUUUAGAGUGUACUCAUGUGUCUCAGUUAUUUGAGUACUUUUUUUUUUUUUUUUUUAGAGUUAUAGACAGUGAGAGAGAGAGACAGAGAGAAAGGUCUUCCUUCCAUUGGUUCACUCCCCAAAUGCCGCUACCGGAGCUGUGCCGAUCUGAAGCCAGGAGCCAGGUGCUUCUUCCUGGUCUCCCAUGUGGGUGCAGGGUCCAAGCACUUGUGCCAUCCUCCACUGCUCUCCAGGGCCACAGCAGAGAGCUGGACUGGAAGAGGAGCAACUGGGACUAGAACCCGGUGCCCAUUAGGGAUGCUGGCACCGCAGGCAGAGGAUUAGCCAAGUGAGCCAUGGCGCCAGCCCUUGAGUACAUUUUAUAAAGUUCUUUCAUUUAUUGGUAUGAAAAGUAGAAUUACAAAAUAAUAGCAUUACAAAUGCUACAAUUUUUGUUAUGUUUAGAGUAAUUCUUAAAGUCAUAAGUGAUUAUAAAUUACUAAGUUAACUUUUCCAGACCAUGAUACUAGCCUUGUGUAUGUGAAUACUGAUGUAAAUCAUUUAAAAUGGUACAUCUUGAAAGAUAUUAUUUAUUUUUAUUUAUUUGAAAGAGAGGAGAUCUUGUAUUUAUUGGUUCACUUCCCAGACACCACAGCAGCUGGGGUUGAGCCAAGCUGAAGAUAGGAGGCCAGAACUCAAUCCAGGUCUCCCACGUGGGUAGCAGGGCCCCAAGUACUUGAGCCAUUACCUAGGCCUUUCCAUGGUGUGCAUUCCCCACAAGCUGAAAUCAGAAGUGGAACUGGAACAUGAACCCAGGCACUCCCAAUAGGAUGCCCAGGUGGGCAUCAUAAUGCCUGCAUUAAACAUCUCCCUCUCCUUGGAAUAGUAACUUCUAAAUAUAAAAUUGAAGAAAUAUAAUUUUUAAUUCUUGUUUCAAUAAAAUUGUCUUGAUUUUAUGUUGAUGUUCAGUUUUAAGGCUCUUUGGACCACAGUUUCUAUUUGUAUUAAGUAAUUAAUAGCCUAAUUAUUAACUAGAGGUUAAAGAAGUACCCAAAAUAUAUAAAAGUCAUUAUAAAAAUAGAUUAAAUCACUUUCAGUAAGAACAGUAGCACAAAGAUAUAUUAAAUUGUAUGAAAGAAUGUAUAUACAAGUAUUAAUUACGUUGACAGGGUAUGUCACAUUACUGUUGUUAAAUCAGUUGUACCAACGCAACCCAUUGAAUAUUGAACAUUGUUCAUCAAGUGAUCUUGAAUGUAACUUUCUGACAUUCUCAGGUAUAGCAUAUCAAGCUUUGAAAACAGAUUAUCAAAGAUUCAUAUCUAAAAAUAAUAACUACGGAAUUGUAGUUAUUUGUUUACUUGUUUAUAAGAUAUAAGAUAUCACUAGCAUUAAUUUAUUUUUCAGUAUUGCUUUUGGAACCAUCCUAGAAAUUUUAUGAUUCUUUCUGUUUUGUUUCUCUGAACAGACUCUGAAGUGUAAAGGAAUAUGCACAUUGAAAUUUGGAAAGCACUAGAUUUAUAAGGUGUAUAGUAUCUGUUUUUAUUAGCAUUUUUUAAAGAUUUAUUUAUUUACUUGAAAGUCAGAGUUAUAGAGAGAAGGAGAGGCAGAGAGAGAUAGAGAGAGAGAGAGAGAGAGGUAUUUUCCAUCCGUUGGUUCACUCCCCAGUUGGCCGAAACAGCUGGAGCUCUGCUGAUCUGAAGCCAAGAGCCAGGAGCUUCUUCCAGGUCUCUCACGUGGGUGCAGGGGCCCAAGAACUUGGGCCAUCUACUACUGCUUUCCCAGGUCAUAGCAGAGAGCUGGAUGGGAAGUAGAGCAGCUGGGACUCAAACUGAAGGCCAUAUGAGAUGUUGGCACUGCAGGUAGUGCCUCUAUCCACUAUACCACAGUGCUGGCCCCUAUUAACAUUUCUUAAAGAACAUUUUAAAUAGGUGUUUAUUCUUAUUUAGAAUAUAUCCUAGUAUCUGUAAGUUUAAAAAAGUGAUUAACUUUCUUCUCACAGGUUAAAUUCAGAAAGUAAUAAAUGAUGACAAUCAAAAAAUUCAGAAUCAUCUCUUUCAGAGAGAAUUGUAAAUGAUUGUUUAGAUAAAUAUAUUUAAUUUCAGAUUUUUACUUCAUGUUGACAGUUGUAACCAAAAUAAAGGUUUUAUGUAAAGGCAGACUGAAUUUUCUAAUUAAAAAUAAAAACCUUAUUAAUUAAAUAUUUAAUUAUUUUUUUAAUUUUAAAUUCAAAAAUUUAAAUUUUAAUUUUUAAAUAAUUUAAUAUUAAAUUUAAUAUUCUGCUCUGAAUAUUGUCUGCAUAUAUGGAGAUUUCCACAUAAAGGCCACUUUUAUUCUAGAAAAGAAAACAAAUAUAACUCUAUAAUUCUUUAAAAUAGCAAGGUAUUGACUGGUUUCAUAUUCACAGUGUCCCUCCAAUUUUUCAGAUGAAAUAAUAUUCAAAUGUUAUAAAGAAAUUGUCCAAAAUUUUUUAAAAUAUUUUUUGUGUUUUCAGUUCUUUCUAUUGAUCAGAUUGCAUAGAUUCAGGAAACCUAAUCACCCAAAAUUCCAGUUUGAAGUUUAUUUUAUAAGUCCUGAUAUGAUUAAACCACCUUGAAUUUCUGCUUAAAGAUGUCAAGUUUGUUUAAAUAUGCCUUUGAAAGCUUUGGCUUUUGCAAAGGAUUAUUCUCUUAAACUGAGUAAAUUAUAGACAUUUUAGGCUAUUAAGGCUAACAUCAACUGCUAAGAGACAAAAAGAAUAGUAAUUUUUUCAUGGGCACAAAUUUUUCUCAAAGUAAAAAAAAUACUGUUCUACAUGAUUCAUAUUAUAAAUAGAGUUAGCAAAAGAGAGUCCUAGGACUGGAGAAGCAAUCUCGAGCUUUUCAUACUGAUAUAAAAUAUAAAUAUUCAUUGAAUUACUCAGUCAAGAGAAAUUAAUUAACUUUUGUUACCUGGUAUUCAGCAAUGAAUAAAACAGGGAAGGGUCAUGCAGUUUUUUAGUCUCUACAGUGAAGACCAGUAAUACAGAAAUACUUUUAAGAGUGAUAUACAUUACAAAAGCAUGAACAGUUCUUUCAGGUGCCAAAAAAAGAGAGAGCAAGAGAGAAAUGGAUGUAGGUUGAGUUGUAAGACAGACAUUUCUCAGUGGUAAUAAAAAAGGCAUAUAAUUUUUUUAUUCUUUCAAUUUUGUUGAGGAAAUAAGAGACCUAGUAAAGGUCAGUGGGUUGUCCAGGGUCAUAUAGCUAGUAAUGUGUCUGGGUAUGAGGUUACUAGCUUCCUAAUCUACUUAUAUUUACUGUGUGAAAUAAACCGGGAAUCUAAGACAGGAAUUUCAGGUAAGGUUACUGUAAAACCACUUUGAGCUUGAAUAUACUCAAUUAUCAUAUGAAGAGUCAGACUUUCUAAACUUUUUUCAGUGUCUAUUUUAUUUUAAUUUCUUUCCCUCUACUUUAGCAUUUACUAUGCUUUUCAGGAUCUUUGCUAAGUCCAUACUUACACAGAAUUUUACAAGAAUGUUCUCUUGGAAGCCAGUAUGCUGGUGCCAUGACACCUAAAUCUCAUCUCUACAAAACUGCUCUGGGUUUUAUAGUGUUUUUCCUAAGAAAAUAGUGUUUUGUUUAAUUAUCAUGAACUUACUAAGUUACUGUCUGUCUAUUGCUAGAAAUAAGAAAAAGGAGGAUGGCCGGCACCAUGGCUCAGUAGGCUAAUCCUCCAACUAGCGGCGCCGGCACACUGGGUUCUGUCCCGGUUGGGGCGCCGGAUUCUGUCCUGGUUGCCCCUCUUCCAGGCCAGCUCUCUGCUGUGGCCAGGGAGUGCAGUGGAGGAUGGCCCAAGUGCUUGGGCCCUGCACCCCAUGGGAGACCAGGAGAAGCACCUGGCUCCUGCCUUCGGAUCAGCGCUGUGCGCUGGCCACAGCACGCCAGCCAUGGCGACCAUUGGCGGGUGAACCAACGGCAAAGGAAGACCUUUCUCUCUGUCUCUCUCACUAUCCACUCUGCCUGUAAAAAAAAAAAAAAAAAAAAAGAAAAAAAAAAAAGAAAAAUGAGGAAUCCCGGACAUUAAGGACAUCUUUUUUCCUGGGAUCAUUUUGAUCUGCUACUGUUUUAAAAUUCUGUUACUAUAGAGCAACCCUUGAUAUGUCUGAUAAGAAAAGAGUUCAUAAUAAAUCAGAAAAACUAUAAUCAUGUUUAAGGUUUUGACUAAACUAAUGGAUAGAGAUGAAGUUUUGUAAGUAAAGUGAUUUUACCUUAUUUCCAUUAUAUUCUUUAUUUGGUUUUUGGUCUUACUGUUUGUCUAGAUUAAUAAAAGUUGGUUUCUUGUUUCCAUAAAAAAAAGAAUAUUAAAUAGCAAAAUUACCCAUCCUAGCAACUUACUUUGACUUGGGGCAAAAUACAAUUAUAGGUUCAUAAGUAUGAAAAGCAAAUAAACAGUAUGAAAGUUGAGUCUGCAAUGCUAGACAUAGUAACAACAGGAAACAUCCCACCUACAAUGCAUAUGGCAAAGGAGAAAGAUAAUGCAACAGACUAUAGUCAAAAAUAAUAGCUGGGAGUUCAAAAACUGAGAAUUCUGCUUUACAACCUUAGAAACAGUCAUCCAAAAAACCGUUGUCUUUUUCUGGAUGUAUUACAGUGAUAUAAACAUACUUUAAUUUAGAAGAAAAACCUUUAAGUAUCCCCCUUCAUAAUUUUGUGUCAUAGUUAUAGUAUAAUAUCUCCUGUGUGUUUUAAAUGUAAUUUUUUCUCAUGUACAUGUGGUUUUGUCUCAAAGGAACACAUACUGUUUUUACUUUAUUGUGGUGCCAUUUUUUAAGAAAUUUGUUACAUGAAAAAUAGAUCAUACAGUAUCUACAAAAUAGGUGGUGAAAAGUUUUCACUGAAGAAUUCCUUUAAAUAGAAAGCUCUUCUGGUAUACCUGUUUGUAAAAUUGCUUCCUUCCCUGGGCUAAAAUAGACACACAAAAACUAUGUGAAAAUGUCAGAAGUCACUGCUGCUUGAAUAGUAAUCAGAAAUAAGAAAAAAAUCAUUUCUGAAAUUUUAAUUAUGAACUAAUGGAAAAUUAUUCUGCAUGUAGAAACUUCAUUUAUAUCUCACUUCUGAAUAUAUUCAUCUUAUUAAGUAAAUUACUACUGUAUAUAGUUUAAUUUUUUUGAGAGUAGUUUGAAGCAUCUCUAUGAAAACAGUGCAUGGAAUAAUGUACUGUAGUACAAAGAGUUAUAUAUUAAAAUGACAUUAAUAAUGGGUAUCAAUUAAGUACAAGAGUGCUGGCCUGUCAGUUAUGUUUCUUCUAUUAUUUUGUUUGAGACAAAUGUGUUUGGGAAUGCAGUGGUCUAUAAUACUACAGUAUUGUCUACUUUGAUGUUUAAUAUUCAAAGCACCUUAUUGGCAGAUAAUAUCCAAUUUAGUUUUUAAUUUGUAAGAAAGACUCGAGAGGUUUUUUAUUUAUUUGAAAGAUAAAGGAACUCAAGAGAGAUCAUCUAUCCACUGAUUCACCUCUCAAAUGCCCAGUUAUCAGGGGUGAACCAGGAUAAAGCCAGAAUUGCCAACUCCCACUUGGAUGUAAGGAACCUAAUUGCUUGAACCAUUACCUGCUACCUCCCAGGGUGCAUAUCAGCAGGAAGCUGGAAUUGGGAACAGAGUUGGAACAUGAAACCAGGCCCUCUAAUAUAGGAUGUGGGCACCCCAAGGGGAAAAAGGUCAAAAGCCUAUCCAUUCUUUAGUUCUUCAAAAUGAUGAGCAAAGUCAUAUCCAUUAAUUCUAAGCUUGUAUAGUAUAUGGAAUAUGUAGUGUGGAAUGUCCAGCUGUCUGAUUCUCUUAAUUCUAUAUUUCUGUGGUCUACUUAAAUAAAAGUGUUGGUUUGAUAUAUAUAUUUCAUAGUAUUCAUAAUAGUUAUUGAAAUUCACAAGUAUGAUCAUUGUUGUAAAUUACAGUGAUAGUUUUUUAAAAUACAACCAGCUUUUUAUGUUGUUGUUGCUUCAUUUUUCCAACUCCAGCAUUAGUUUUGGUAACACAAUUACAUCUUCAUUGUGUUUACACAUUCAUUAAAUUAUUAAUUGCAUGCCCCAUGUUAAAAUAAUACUUUUUGUUUGUUUUUACAUACAUCUUUCUCCUAGAGCAAUCUUAACUUAUUUUUGCUAGUUUACUUCACAGAUAAUUCAGAAUUGAAUUUCACUUCCGUAGGGACAUGCCAUUACGUCAUUUCAAAUUAUUGAAAUGAUAGUAUGCCCAUGGAACUAAAUAAUUUAAUAUUGAGAAUAAUACUAUUGUACCAUGGCACUGAGAGAUUGAUUAUAAGUCCACUUUUCUUAUGAAUUACUUUUUUAAACACAGAAUAACGAAUUGUCUAUUCAAAGAUUAUUCCAGCUAUUUUAGUCACCUUUUUCAUCAGACAUGUUUUGGGGGGGCUAAAAUAAAUCAGAUUAAAUAAUAUGAGUGGCUCACUAAAGAACAUUUAUUGCUAAGGGGAAAUUCAUGUUAUAAGAUGAUGAGUGGGUAAGUUAGAAAUACAUUUUCUGUGUGGGAAAAUACUUGCUUCUGUUAUAUUCAUUUGUAUAAUAAAAACGCUUAAUGUUAAUCUGUGUAUUUUUUUCCUAAAAACAAAAUUAGUUCAGUAAAUAUUGCCAUGUGAAAUAGGUUAUUCCCAAGGUUCUUAUAUCUGGCAAAAUACAUAAAAAUACUCUAUAAAGUUUUUAUUUCUCCUGUAGUCAUCUAAAUUUAUAUAAAAAUAAUAGGUUAGAUAGUUAUUCUACAAAUAUUAAAAUUUAUUUUACCACUAUCUCUUAUUUCUGACUGAAAAUUCAUUUGUUUUACUGGAAGAUGAUGCAACUUUGGGGGUAUACUUUUUGGUGGCUGUUGAAUUAUUUCUUGGUUCCCUUUGACUUUUCUCCUCAUGUGUUCCUAAAGGGUAAAUACUUUCAUGCAAAUACACAAACAAGUCUAAUGUUUUACCUUUGCAAUAGAGGCACAUUAUAUUUUGAUAUUUUACAAAAUGGAGCAUAAUGACUGCAAUAGCAGCUAACUCUUUUAUUAGCACUCUAGGUACAUAAUAAAUACAUACUUCACAAAUGUGUUCUGUCAUUUAAUCCACAGUCACCUUCAAAUUUAGUACAAUUUUUUUUUUCCAUUUAACAAAUGAGAGAAAACUUAUUUAGGUGAAUUAAUUCAACUAAAAUUAAACAAAUAGUAAAUUUUGAACUGGAUUUAAUUUUAGUACUUUACUUCUUAACCACUCACUAUGCUUUACUAACUCUUGAAAGUGACUUUAAAAUUCAGUGUCCAAACUGUUCAUUUUAAAAACAGGAUUAAAUAUGGAUAGCUAAAUGAAUAGAUUCCUUCACCCCCACCUGGUACUGAAGGCUACAUGAAGGAAAGAGAGAUACUAACUUACCCACUUUGUGCCCAGUAUAGUUAAAGACGCUGUGUGUGUGUGUAUGUGUGGCAUUUAAUCUUUAUCUGGAUGAUACAUCUUGUGAUCCUUUUCUACAGAUAAUUAAAUUAAGGGUCUGGUGUUCGGUGGCUGUCUCAAGGGCAUUCCUUAGAUGUCAUUUCUUUUUUCCUCAUUGCCUUUAUGCUAUUAAGCAUAUUUGGGUUCAUUGUAUGUAGAAAUUUUGAAGACUUAUGCUCCUGGUUCUAGAAUAUAUAAUAAAAUUGCAUCUUAAUUUAUGUAAACAAUCAUAGUCCAUUCAAAUCAAAUCAGCUUACCAGAGCUUGUGGUUUUAAUGAGGGCUCACUAUAUGCUAGUAAAGUUGAAAAUGAGAUAAACUAGAAGAUCUUCAAAGACUAUCAUUGGCUGAAAAGUCCACAUAAACACACCAAAAUAAUUUGAUAUUUAAGCAUAUGUUUACUUCCUAGCCUGAGUGUUUAUCAGUAAAUCCCAAGGAUCCAUCAAAUUCAGCACUUAUUAACAAUUCUUAACUUACUUUUUUGGAUGGUGUCAUCCCUGCUUUCCCCAGUUCCGAAAUUCGAAAUAUAUUAGCCUUCUGCCACCCUUUACUUUACUUCCAUACUCAGCCCAUUUCCAAAUCCUUUAGAAUUUUGUUGUUUUCUAACCUUUAGAUCUGUUCUGUUCUGUCUUCACAUUAUGCAUAUUACUGCUGCUUUAACUCAUUUCUUGACUAAAGAAUUACAGUAAGUAGUCUCCUCAGUUAAUCUGAGUCUGGCUUUUUCUUUUAUAUCUUGUCCAUAUUCUGUCUGUUGCUCAGUUGUUCCCAAAUGUAAAUCUAGUUAUGUCACUACCAUAAUUCAAAUCCUUCAAGAAUGUACUUUGAUCUUUAACGUGAGAUCCUAAUUUCAGUCUAGCCUCCGAGCUAGACUUCAUCUUCAAUUUAGACCUCCAACCUCUUCAGUCAUUACUUUAACCUUUAUAUCUUUUGUUGCAGCUCACUGAAUUAUUUCCUUUUCAGGAUAUGCUGUGUUUCUUUAGGUCCCCUAGGCUCUACAUGUGUGCUGUCUCCAGUACAAUGUCUCCUGCCAUAACCAUCUACUUCCCUCAACAUAAUUUUACUACAGGUCCCAAAUUUAGUAUCACUUACCAAAUCAUUCUGGCCACCCUUGGGCAGAAUUAACUUACCCCUUCUAAGUAAGUGGUACACACAUUUAAUGUUAUGAAAAGAUGGUCUUCUGUUUCCUUUUAGUGCCAGUCUACCCUGAGAUUAACUGAACCUACCUUCCAAAGUUUUAGGAAGGUUCAGAGAGGUAGUGCAUACAAAUUGUUGACCCACUGUCUUGUUCAUAAGAAGAUCUGGAUAGGACUCAAGAAAUGUUAACAUAUAUUUGGCUUCUGAUAGGAUUUUUUUUCAUGAUUUAAGAAAUAAUUUAUUAAACAGUUACUGUUUAUUAGGUGCUGGGAUUACAAAGAAGAGCAAGACUCAAUUACUGCCCUUGAAUUUAUAAUUUCCUUAGGUUAUGUAAGUGUGUGUGUGUGUGUUGUAUAUGCCUAUUGUUGAUAAUCAAAAUUAUAAUACAGCUUAAGUAAUGCUUUUGUGGAUAGGUUUAUGAGAAAAUAAAGACUGAGAAAAGGAGUCCCCAAAGAGGAAAUAGGAAAUUUCCAAAUUGGAAAAUCUUCAUCAAAGAUGACUGUGACCUGAAACAAUCAAGGGCAAAUUUUUGAGGUGAAGGUAACAUGACUUGUUCAGAAAAAGACGAAUAGUAAGACAACCUCUAAAAGAGAAAAAGGUGGGAGUAGAAAACAGGGAAGGGACAAAAUCUACUCAGAGAAAAUCUCCAUCAUUGAAAAGUUCCCCAAAGAGUCUUAAAUUAUAAUUUCCCUCCUCUGAGAAAAGGAAAAUGAAUUCCAUACAGUGGGUAUGAGAAAGCGCUGUGUGAAAAAUUGCCCUUUCUCAGGCUGGGAUGCUGGGGUAGUAUAUUCAUCUGGCAUCGAUUCUUGCCCAGUUUAAGAACAUUGCUCAGACAAAGGGUAAGGUAGGAGGAGCAAAGGAACAGCAUGUCAUUAAUUUUUCAUCUAAGGAUAUACCUCAUUUUGUUUAUCCAUUCAUCGGUAUUUGAUGGAUAUUUGGGGCCCUUUCAUAGCUAAUGCUGUUAUAAACAACCAUGUACACAUUUUGUGUAUGCAUGUAUACUACUAGAUAUUCCUACGAGUAAGAAUUGCUAGAUCUCACGGUACUGUGUUUGACAUUUGAGUAACUGCCAGACUGUUUUUCAAAAUGGUUAUACCAUUUUAUGUUCCUACCCGCAACAUAUGAGAAUACUAGUUUCAGGACUGCUUUAAAAAAUAUGUUGAUUAUAGAUGUAUUUCAGACUCAGUUCUAGUGUACUGGUCUAUUUGUCUCUCUUUAUGUUAGUACCACACUGUUUUGAUUACUUUGCUGUUGUAUAUUUCGUUUUGUAAUCAGGAAAUGUAAGUCCUUCAACUUUUCUUUGGUUGGUUAUUUGUUUUUCUAAGAUUGAAGAUCAGCUGCUUAGUUUCUGGAAAAAAAAAUAUACGUAGGCUGUUAACAUAUUGAUAGUUUUAGUGUUGAGUCUUUUGGUUUAUUUUAUGUACAUGUUUUCAUAUAUAUCUUCUUUAAUUUCUUUAAGCAGUAUUUUGUAGUCUACAACGUACAUGUCUUGUACCUCUUGGUUAAAUUCUUUACUAAGUGCUGCCAGCAUUGUCUCAGUCAGUUAAUGCACCAUUUGUGACAGUGACAUUCCAUAUCAGAGUGCCAGUUCAAGUCUUGGCUAUUCCAAUUCCAAUCCAGCUUCCUGCUAAUGUGCCUGGGGAGGAAUUGAAAGAUGUUCCAAUUACUUGGGCCACUUCUACUCGUGGUGGAGACCAGGAUUGAAUUACUGUUCCCCAGCUUCUACCUGUCCCAAACCUGGCUGUUGUGGCCAUUAGGGUGUCAACCAAUGGAUAAAAGAUUUCUCUCUCUCCUUUGAAAAGUCACUCUGCCUUUCAAAUAAGUAAAUAAAUCUUUUUUAAAAAAUUGCUUAAUAUUUUAUUAAUUUUGAUUCUGUUCUAAAUAUAUAAUUUUUUUAGAAAUUUCAAUUUUGGCUUGUUCAUUACUAGUAUUUACAAGUAAAAUGGCAUCUUGCAUGUUGAUGUGGUAUUCUGCAACUUUGCUGAAUUCAUUAACAAUUUUUAGUGGAUUCAUCAGUGUUUUUUUUA